rnacentral:rRNA from 1 species
UACGGAGGGCGCAAGCGUUACCCGGAAUCACUGGGCGUGAAGGGCGUGUAGGCGGACACUUAAGUCUGGUUUUAAAGACUGCGGCUCAACCGCAGGGAUAGACAGGAUACUGGGUGUCUUGACCUCUGGAGAGAGAACUGGAAUUCCUGGUGUAGCGGUGGAAUGCGUAGAUACCAGGAGGAACACCGAUGGCGAAGGCAGGUUCUUGGACAGGAGGUGACGCUGAGGCGCGAAAGUGUGGGGAGCGAACCGG